rnacentral:rRNA from 1 species
UACGUAGGGGGCGAGCGUUGUCCGGAUUUAUUGGGCGUAAAGAGCUCGUAGGCGGUUUGGUAAGUCGGAUGUGAAAUCUCCAGGCUCAACCUGGAGGGGUCAUUCGAUACUGCCAUGACUAGAGUUCGGUAGGGGUGUGUGGAAUUCCUGGUGGAGCGGUGAAAUGCGCAGAUAUCAGGAGGAACACCGUAGCGAAGGCGGCACACUGGCCAAUACUGACGCUGAGGAGCGAAGCGUGGAGCAACAGG